GACGAACGCUGGCGGCGUGCUUAACACAUGCAAGUCGAACGAAGUGGCGAACGGGUGAGUAACGCGUAAUCAACCUGCCCUUCAGAGGGGGACAACAGUUGGAACGGAAUGCUAAUACCGCAUACGGAAGGAGGGGUUUGCGGCGGAUUGGCUAGCUGGCGGGGUAACGGCCCAACAAGGCGAUGAGCAGUAGACGGGCUGAGAGGAUGAACGGCCACAUUGGGACUGGGACACGGCCCAGACUCCUACGGGAGGCAGCAGGGGGGAAUCUUCCGAAAUGGACGAAAGGCUGACGAAGCAACGCCGCGUGAGUGAUGACGGCCUUCGGGUUGUAAAGCUCUGUUAAUCGGGACGCGGUACCGGAAUAGAAAGCCACGGCUAACUACGUGCCAGCCGCCGCGGUAAUUC
rnacentral:rRNA from 1 species